rnacentral:rRNA from 1 species
GUACCGAAGAUAACGGGGUAAGUGUGCCGCAUGGGGAGUAUGCGAGCAAGAGUGAAACUCAAAGGAAGUGACGGGGGCCCGCGCAAGACGGUGGAGCAUGUGGUGGUAAUUCGAUGAUACGGGAGGAACCUUACCAGGGCUGGACAUAUACAGGAUAUAGUGAGAGAUAACUACUCCCCGUGUGGGGUCUGUAUACAGGUGCUGCAUGGUUGUCGUCAGCUCGUGCUGUGAGGUGUUGGGUUAAGUCCCGCAACGAGCGCAACCCUUGUUGUCUGUUACCAGCAUGUAAAGAUGGGGACUCAGACGAGACUGCCGGUGAUAAGCCGGAGGAAGGUGAGGAUGACGUCAAAUCAUCAUGGCCCUUAUGUCCUGGGCUACACAAGUGCUACAAUGGCCUGUACAAAGCGAUGCGAAACAGUGAUGUGAAGCAAAACGGAGAAAGCAGGUCUCAGUCCAGAUUGAAGUCUGAAACUCG